rnacentral:lncRNA from 1 species
GUUAGCCAGGAUGGCCUCGAUCUCCUGACCUCGUGAUCCGCCCACCUCGGCCUCCCAAAGUGCUGGGAUCACAGGCAUGAGCCAUCGACCCAGCCUGUUCUACUUCUUUGAAUUUAAUUUCUCAUUGAGACUGGACCACAUGGGGUCCCAGCUUAUAUCUAGGUUACAUUUGUAAACUAAGUUUAACCCAUUUAUGCCUAGUGUUCCAUUAUUGGAAUGCUAAGCUUGUGGGAGCAAUUUAUGUCCGACUGCUCAAGGUCAUUGCCAAGGUCUGAUUUUUCACAAAAAAUAUUUGCUUCUGGAUGAGACAGAAGUAGGAUGAAAGUGAAGAGAUUAUGUGAACUGGACAACCCCUUCUGGCUUGAAAAUACCUGUAGUGACCACAGUCUGAUUUCUCCCUCCUCACACGAAGCUUUUGCGGCAUUCCGUGAAGGAAGGAGCAGUCACUCCCUUCCCCAGAGGAAGAUUCCGGCAGGCGAUCUAUGGAACAGUAAAUCUAACCUUGAUUGACAGUGUUUGCCUACUUCCGUGGUGUAAACACUGCAACUAUGGCUGAUUUGAGCCCAGGACUGUGCCAUCACCGAAGGAGGGCUGAGAAGGGACUGGUGGUACCACCACACACUCCCCACCGUGCAGCUGCUGCAGACAUGAGCCAUCUGGCGUGCACGGUAUGCAGUCAGAUGCAGUCAAAUGAUGGGGAAGUGAUGAAUUGUGAGUACUUAAUAUGUUCAUUUUUAUAAUUUACUUAAUUGAAAGUUUAUAUAGUUUAAUUUUUAAUAAUGGCUGUGUUUAACUACUGGCUCCUAAAAUUUCUGAAAAUUUAACAUGAGCGCUUGCCAGGUGGAGGGCCAUGCACACUGCAGAAGGCUGGUGGCCUCUGUAGUGCCCAGGAGAUGCAUGUACAGCCGGGCCCUGAGAUGUGCACAGGCACAGCCCUCCUCUGCUGGGUCCUGAGCUCACCAGGAAGAGCGGCCUGACCCUGGGCUCCUCAGGCUGAGGGGCUCGGUUCCCAGGUCUGCUCAAAACCACAUGUGGUUUCAGGGCCCUGGGCAGCGGAAUACUUUUGCCCAAUCCUGCUGCCAUCUUUAAACAAGGAAUGGGGGAAGGAUACUUUCGUACAGAUCACAUUCUGAAUAUUUGGGAAACUUGGGUUGGAUGCAGCGGCUCAUGCCUGUAAUCCCAGCACUUUGGGGAGGCGAAGUGGGUGAAUCAGUUGAGGCCAAGAGUUCAAGACUAGCCUGGCCAACAUGGUGAAACGCUGUGUCUACCAAAAAAGACAAAAAUUGGCCAGGUGUCGUGGUGCAGGCCUAUAAUCCCAGCUACUGAGGAGGCUGAGGCAGGAGAAUUCCUUGAACCCAGGAGGCAGAGGUUGCAGUGAGCCAAGACCAAGCCAUUGCACUCCAGCCUGGGUGACAGAGUGAGAUCCUGUCUCAAAAAAAAAAAAAAAAGUUGGGAAACUUAACACACUGUUAAUCUGCCUGGGUGGUCUCAGCAUGCAACAACCAGCUCUGGGGUUCACAGGGUCCCCCAUGAGCACAUCCUAGGCAGUGUCCCUCACUGUCCCUCAGAGCAGGGUGAUUUGGGGGAAGUUACUGAAGCUUCCUGGGCCUCAGGCAUCAGUGAUGUUGAGGUAGGAGGUGGGACUCAACUCUGGAGGUGGGGCUUGGACACUGGACCAAAUUGAGGACUAGAUAAAACAGGGCCAGGGCCGAAGCAGGUUUCCAUAAGACAUGCCCACCAGUGUGCCAUGCCAGUUUACCAUUGCCAUGGCAACGCCUGGACGUUACUGCCUCUUUCCACAGCAACGACAACCGGGAAGUUGCCAGACUUUUCCUAGAAAUUUCUGUAUAAACUGCCCCUUAAUUUGCAUGUAAUUAAAAGCCAGUAUAAAUGUGAGUACAGAAGUGGUUCUGGGUGGCUACCCUGGGCACACUGCCUAUGGGGUAGCCCUGGUUCUCAAGGAGCCGUACCUCUGCUGCUGCUGUGCACUGCAACUUCAAUAAUAGUUGCUGUCUAACACCACUGGCUCACGCUUGAAUUCUCUCCUGGGUGAAGCCAAGAACCCUCCUGGGCUAAGCUCCAAUUUUGGGGCUUGCCUGUCCUGCAUCAAUAUGGUGUGAUAAUAAUGGGAGGGAUGAAGAUUGCACUGUGAGCCUAUUGUGUCCCCAGUGUCCAGCAUGAGGCCUGGCCCAUGGUGCUCCAAAGCUGCCGCAAAUGAAUAGAUGACUGAGGCCAUGGCUGCAGUUGGUGCAGGGAAGGGUUCCAGGCAGUCAGCUGGUGCCAGUGUGGCUCCUGCAAAAGGGUUUGAGUGGCCAGUGCUAUGGCCCUGGGCUUGGGGUAGUGUCCUGGGGCUGUGGUAGCAAAGCACCGCAGACUGCUGUGGGGGCUCAUCACGGCAAAAGCUGGUCCCUGCACCACUCUGCAGGCUGAGAGCCUGGGACCGAGGUGUCUGCAUGGCUGCACUCUCUCUGAAGUCUGUAGGGAGGAUCCUUCCUGCCUCCUCUGGCUUCUAGUUGCUGCCAGGAGGCCCUGGCAUUCCUCAGCUUGCAGGUACAUCCUCCCAUGGCCAUCUUUUCCCUGUGCCUCUGUCUUCCCAUGGCCAUCUUCUCAGACGGACCCCAGCCAUAUUGGAUUAGGGCCCACCCUACUCCAGCAUGAGCUUUUCUGAAGUAAUGACAUCUGCAAUGGCCUUAUUUCCAAAUAGGGUCACGUUCCGAAGUAUUCGGGGUUAGGUCUUCAACAUAUGUUUUUUAGGAGAAUGCAGUUCAUCCCAUACCAGAGUGACAGUGGAGAUCCGUCAUUCAUUCAUUCAUUUGGUGCAUUGACUGAGCACCUUCCUGCUCCUUUGUCUUUGAUGCUGAUGUCUGGUGAUGCUUGAGACAGGUGCAGUUCCUGCCUGCAUGGAGCUCUGGGUCUAACAGACAGGAUGGCAGCAAACACCUCAUCAGGUGGCCAGUUGGU